rnacentral:rRNA from 1 species
AACGAACGCUGGCGGCAUGCCUAACACAUGCAAGUCGAACGAGACCUUCGGGUCUAGUGGCGCACGGGUGCGUAACGCGUGGGAACCUGCCCUUAGGUUCGGAAUAACUCCCCGAAAGGGGUGCUAAUACCGGAUAAUGUCUUCGGACCAAAGAUUUAUCGCCUUUGGAUGGGCCCGCGUUGGAUUAGCUAGUUGGUAGGGUAAAAGCCUACCAAGGCGACGAUCCAUAGCUGGUCUGAGAGGAUGAUCAGCCACACUGGGACUGAGACACGGCCCAGACUCCUACGGGAGGCAGCAGUGGGGAAUAUUGGGCAAUGGGCGAAAGCCUGAUCCAGCAAGGCCGCGUGAGUGAUGAGGCCUUAGGGUUGUAAAGCUCUUUUACCCGGGAUGAUAAUGACAGUACCGGGAGAAUAAGCUCCGGCUAACUCCGUG